rnacentral:rRNA from 1 species
GAUGAACGCUGGCGGCGUGCCUAAUACAUGCAAGUCGAGCGGUAAGGCCUCUUCGGAGGUACACGAGCGGCGGACGGCUGAGUAACGCGUAGGAACGUACCCCAAAGUGAGGGAUAAGCACCAGAAAUGGUGUCUAAUACCGCAUGUGAUCUAAGGAUUAAAGCUUCGGCGCUUUGGGAACGGCCUGCGUUCGAUUAGCUAGUUGGUGAGGUAAAAGCUUACCAAGGCGACGAUCGAUAGCUGGUCUGAGAGGAUGAUCAGCCAGACUGGGACUGAGACACGGCCCAGACUCCUACGGGAGGCAGCAGUAGGGAAUUUUCCACAAUGGGCGAAAGCCUGAUGGGGCAACGCCGCGUGCAGGAUGAAUGCCUUCGGGUUGUAAACUGCUUUUAUAUGUGACGAUUAUGACGGUAGCAUAUGAAUAAGGAUCGGCUAACUCCGUGCCAGCAGCCGCCGCCG